rnacentral:lncRNA from 10 species
CCAAAACAGAAACGAAACCCCAGCUGCCCCUCUGGGCCCUGCAAAGACGGGCCCAGUUGGGGCAUGUGUAAAUGUCAUGGCUUCUGGGUGAGGGCUUGAGUGGAAACGGCCCAUGACCUCCCUUGUCCAGAUGUGGACCGCCUCCUCUAGGAAGCCCCCCCAGCCCCAGCAGGCAGUGCCCUCCCAGGGCAGGGCCUCACAUCCCAGGAGGAUCCCGGACUUGCUCCUCAAACAAAGCUGGGAGAAGGGGCUUCCCAGGCCCCUGCUUGUCUGGGAAUGACCCCUGGAGGAGAGUCCUCUAAAGAAUGCCUCGCAGCUGCCGCACCCCCUGCUGACAGCUGGAGGACAGGGGGCCUCUCAAGGGAAAGCCGAAGGGAGCUUAAAGAGACACAGGAAGCCUGCGCGACCCACCCACUGAGCCCCGAGGCUCCCGUGCUCAGCCGCAAAAUGGGAAAAAUACUUCCUGCUCCGUUAGCCUCCCAGGUUGUCACGAGCACCGCAGUGGAGACGUGGAAAGACCCCGGGUAGGAGGCGGGCACGCGGCUUCCCGGCCCACCCCGCCGCCCACCCGCCGGGCGCUUCUGGGCCAGCCCCGGGCGCUGGCGGGCCUCGCUCCCUUCCCUGGGUUCUGGAACCACGCUGCACUGAACUUUCCUCCAGGCCCGCACCACUCCGGCGGGGCAAGUUCUUUGCAAACUGUGAAGCGCCGCGCCGCCUUCGGCAGCGUUCCUGGCUCGGGGCGGCCCCUAGCCCGCGGACGGCUCAGGGGUCCCCUCCCCCGGCUCCAGGGCCUCCGGGUGGCCGGGAGGGCGCGGCCUUACCUGUUCCAGGUGGCGUUGGCGCAG